GGCGCUGAUUGCGGCGGCGGGUCUGUGAGUCGAGCCGGGCCUGGGCAGUGGCUGCGCCUUAGGACCUCGCGCUCGGUCCGCGGGCUCCGGGGUGGGGGCUCCAGCGGCGAAGCCCCCUCCCCGGGGAGGCGGGGCCUGGGCGAGCUCCCGAGGCUCGAGCGGCGGCGGCCGGGAACCAUGCAUCAGAAGCUGCUGAAGAGCGCACAUUACAUCGAGCUGGGCAGCUACCAGUACUGGCCGGUCCUGGUGCCCCGCGGUAUUCGCCUCUACACCUUCGAGCAGAUCCCGGUGUCGCUCAAGGACAACCCGUAUAUCACCGACGGCUACCGGGCCUACCUGCCCUCCAGGCUGUGUAUCAAAAGUUUGUUUAUUUUAUCUAAUGAGACGGUAAACAUCUGGAGUCAUUUGCUGGGUUUCUUUCUCUUCUUCACCCUGGGAAUAUAUGAUAUGACGUCUGUGUUACCUUCGGCAAGUGCAUCCAGAGAAGAUUUUGUAAUUUGUUCUAUUUGUCUUUUCUGCUUCCAGGUCUGUAUGCUUUGCUCUGUGGGAUAUCAUCUUUUUUCUUGCCAUCGGUCAGAAAAAACCUGUCGAAGAUGGAUGGCAUUAGAUUAUGCAGGAAUUUCUAUUGGAAUACUGGGCUGCUAUGUCUCAGGAGUAUUUUAUGCAUUUUAUUGUAAUAAUUACUGGCGUCAAGUAUACUUGAUCACAGUGCUUGCCAUGAUCCUGGCAGUGUUCUUUGCUCAGAUUCAUCCCAAUUACCUCACACAGCAAUGGCAGAGGCUCCGUUCUGUCAUCUUUUGUUCUGUUUCGGGAUAUGGAGUAAUACCUACUCUUCACUGGGUUUGGCUCAAUGGAGGAAUUGGAGCUCCUAUUGUACAGGAUUUUGCACCUCGUGUAAUUGUGAUGUAUGUGAUUGCUCUUCUUGCUUUCCUAUUCUACAUCUCCAAAGUUCCAGAGCGGUACUUUCCAGGACAACUAAACUACCUCGGAUCUAGCCACCAAAUAUGGCAUAUCCUUGCAGUAGUGAUGUUAUAUUGGUGGCAUCAGUCAACAGUCUAUGUCAUGCAGUACAGACAUAGCAAGCCUUGUCCUGACUAUGUUUCACAUUUGUGAAGAAUUCAGCUUUAAAAAUCAUAUUUUAGAAUCAGGAAUGAAGAAUCAGGGAAUAUCUUGUCACAUCACAUGGCAUCCCACCUGGACAGAGUGUACGAUUUGAAGAUUGUGAUUGACUGGCAUAAAGCUGUACAGCUCUCCAUGUGGCAGGAAUAAAUGCCAAGAAUCCAUCAGAAGUAUCUACUGUUUAGAAGGAAAUGGAGCAGCACCAAAUGGGUCUAAUUCAACUGGUUGGGACUGUUGGGACUGAUGUGGCGGGAUGCUUUGCACCACAAGUUCUGUAAAGGGCACUGCACCAAAGUCAUCCAUUUUCAACGCAUCUGCACUAUGGAAUGACCCAUGUAGUGAAUUCUGUCUUGGCCGCCCAGGCAGGACAGUAUUGUGAUCAGCACGGAUGUCACUCAGGCCCUGAUGUGGCUGGUGCCAUGAUAGGUCUGGAGGAUGGAAGGGCUUGGCACCAAAGGGAUCCAACAGACUCUCCUCUGGUUGUAGGACACUCCCUCUGUCUUUCCCAUCAGUCAGUGCAACACUGAUGUUCUCCUUGGAGUCUGAGAUGGUUAAAAAUUCAUUGCUGCUUUGAGAGUCUCUGCGGCCCACUUUCUUGUGCCUGCGAGCCCUCUCUGGAGUGCGGUAGGUAGGCUUCAAUGUCUUCUUCACGCUAGUUGGUGUGCCGUGAUGCCGUUUCCCGUUACUUUUGGACAUAUCCUGCUUUGUGCGCCUCUGGCGAGAGGACAGUUUCUGUAAGCUGCGCUGUUUGACUUUUUGCUGCUGACUUCCGGUUAUCUCCUCAAAGGGCACAAGCCCAAAAAGGUCCUCCUUACUUUCGCUUUUACUUGUUGAUGUGGGAAAAGGCUGAAAAGGAGUGGAGCCAAAUAUAUCUACACUUUUGGGACAACCAGGAAGAGCAUGUGCCUCAGACCCCACUACAGGGCAGUCCUGGACAUUCACCUUCUUGCUGAAGGGUGCUUUAGUGAAGACAUCAAAUUCCUCUUGCUCUAGUCCUACAGUAGGAAACAUCUGUCGAGAAAGGUUCUUUUCAUUCUCUCCUUGCUGGGGCUGUUGAGCACGCACUGAGAAGGGAACAGCACCAAAUACGUCAAAUUCCUGUUUGGGAGUCUCCCUCCCAACAUCAGAGGAUACAUGUGUUAGGGCAAGGAGUGCUAAAUUAGGAUCUUGGGUUGUUCCACUGCCAGAUUUGUCUCUGUAGACAGGGCUCACGCUGCUGUACUUUGCUUUGGCCUGCUCAUACUCAGAAUCAGAGCUGUGUUUCUCUUCUUCUUCCUCAUCUUCAGAGUCCAUGAGGAGAGGCCUAUGACCCAGAUUUUCUGGUUCAGUAUCAUCAUCAUUAAAAUCUCCUUGUUCUCCAGGAACUUCUUCAUCGUCUUGCUCUUCCUCUUCACUGCUCUUAGGAGAAGGGGGAUCUGACUCAAAAUCACUUUCAGAGUCAUCAUUCCCCUUUUGUACAUGACCCCGUACUGAUAAAUUCUCUGAGGUUUUCUUUCCAACCCGCUGAUCUUUAGAUACUGGACUUGCUUUUCCAUUCUUGAUAGGGUUUCUGGUGCUAUUUUCUUGAUUCAUGGAUGGAUAUUCACCUUUCUUUUCAGGAGAACCUGCAGGUUUAAAUAAAAAAUAUUAUAGCCUUCCUGUACAUUUCAAACUCCAUUUUCAUGAAUCAUAUAAUCCCUCAUACCAAUUACCUCAGAGGAAAAAAUAAUGUUGUCAAGUCUUUGUCACUGUCCUCAGCUACAUGGUUAGGUCCUUAUUGCAGUUAUACAUACUUGUCUCUGGUCCCUAUGUCACAGACCCUCACUGAUAGCUAAAUUUUACUUAUAGCACCCAGACUAAGACCCUGAAGAUAAAAAAGCAAAAAAGUUUUUUCUCACCACCACUGAUGUAAGAUUAGUCACCAAACAACAUUGUGUUUAUAUUUCAACCUUUUUUUUUCUCAUAGAAAUCAAUACAUUUCUAUAGGCAGGGAUACCUUGUCUGUUUAGUUAUAUAUUUCACUAAUUUUUUUCAAAUCAGCAUUUUGACUUUUACAAUGUAAAUUUUGUUUUGUGCCAUACUGAGGAUUGAACCUAGGGAUACUCUACCACUGGGCUAUAUCCCCAACCCUUUUUGAGACAGGGUCUCACUAAGUUGGCCAGGCUGGCCUUGAACUUGCAUUCCUCCUGUCUCAGACUCCCAAGUCACUGAGAUUACAGGUGUGCACUACUGCACCUGGUUUAAAUCAGUAUCUUCUGAGUUAAUUUAGCGUCAGUGCAUUCUUCAUAGCCUAAUCAAAGCUAAGGACCAAAAUGUAUCAAAAAUGCUCUUCCUUUAAUUACAGUAUCUAUUGUACUAGACAUUCCAUUAAAGGCUAUCUUUAAAACAACUGUAAACUAUCAGUAGGCUAACUAUCAGUGAUAGGCAAUUAAAUUUCACCAAAUAUAGAGCUUUAAAAUCUAUAUUGUAUUUAGAAAAGAAAUAUAGUUUAUUAGUAUACAUGAAAAUAUACUACCUUCCCAAUACAUUGGUAUACUGAAUUGAUUUUACCAGAGGUAGCAGUCAAUUUGAUUUAGUCAUACAUACUCAUCCCUUCCCUUCAGGACCAAAUAUUUUCAAAACAAUUAGAUAGGGCUGGGAGUACAGUCUGUCAUCACAAGAACGAGUUAGCUUGUGAUGGAGGAGGGACCAUUACUUCGUCAUCAUUAACAUGAUGAUCUCUGGUAUAUGGUACCUCUGGGUUAUCUUCUCCUUUUUUAAAGUCAGCACUAUCAUCUUCCUACAACUGUGUAAGCCUUGUCUUUCACUAACAUCUGCUUAAAAUGUGUCUUCCCUAGAGUUCAAUCCUUGGAUGUGUUUCUCCCUCUGUGGCUUCUCUCUGGGGUUUUAACUACUUGUAUGUUGACUACAAAAUAUACUAAUAGCUUUUGGCUGAGUUGUAUUUUUCUAACCCAGAUCUUACUCAUGAGUUAUAGAUGCAGAUCUCUAGUAAGUACCAUGAAUACCUACCUAUCAGAAUAUGUAUCCUACCAUUACCCUCAAACUCAAACAUUUCAAAAGGGACCAUCUUUUUUGUUAAGGUAUUCUUCACCAGCAGUUCCCUUUAGUGGACAGCACUUCCAUGUACGUAGGUUCCUCAGACCAGAAGAAAUCUGGAAAUCAUCUCCCCUCUUCCUACCAGUGUGUACGUAGGUUCCUCAGACCAGAAGAAAUCUGGAAAUCAUCUCCCCUGUUCCUACCAGUGUGUGCCUGUGGUUUUUAAAUCUCCUGAAUUUCCCUUUCCUCCCUCUUCCACUUAUCUAUUCACUCCCUCAUUAUUUCUUAUCUAGAAACUAAGCCUCUAAACUUGCUUCUUUGCCAUGAUUUUCAUAGUCCCCAAAUGGCUCCUUUACCUUGUCACCAUAAUAAAUUUUUUUUUUCUGAAAAACUAAUCCCAUGGCUCUUUGCUUAAAAUCUUCCAGUGGCUGUUUGAAGUGGAACCCUUAGCAUAAUGCAGGGUUCUCUAUUUAGGUUCUGUUUUGCCAAAUCUAUAGUCUCACACCCUGUGUUUCCCAUGUUAUUCUUUAUUACAGCCUACUCAAACUCAGGAACCAAAUGGCUAUCUUAGGAAUAUACUUGUGAAAUAACCUGUAAUACUCACCUAUCUUAACAUCUCGUUCCCACUGCACUUUAAUAUGAAUAUUCUACCACUGCCUCAUGAAGGUGGCUAUGUUUCAAGACCCAGCCCAAAUCAUAGCCCUUCAGAGCCACCCCUUAAAAAAAUACCAUAUUGUAUUUGGUGUGCCUGAGAAACCUUAAUUGUAAUAUCUACUCCACUGAACUGCAAAUGUAUUCAUCUCUACCCUAGCACUGACUGAAUCAAUAUGUAUUAAAAUGAAGCAUUGACUACUGUGAGUUCAACUAUAUUCAGAAUAUAAUAAGAGAAGUUACAAGAAAUAUGAAGGAAUAAAAAUAAACUCUAUAUCUGUGGA